AACUUUUCUUUCUCUGACAAUAGCUUGGUUUUUGUCUGCGUGUAUGCUUUUAGGAUAUUUUGCUUUUGAAAUGUUAAAAUUCCAUGAAGCUGUGGCGAGGUGCUUAUUUCUUUUCAUUAAUUUGCCUGACUCAGUAAAGCUCUUUUGAUCCACAGACUUGGGCCUGUCUUCAGCUCAGCACAGUUUUCUUGUGUUACUACUUUGGUUAUUGUUUAUGUGUCCUUUAUGCAGCCUCUUCUUUGGGAAUAUCAUUGGUUCAUCCAGCAUAUAUUUACUUACCAUGUGCAAGUACCGUUCUACUUAUUGGGAUGACUCAUGGCUCUGUAUAUUAGCUCUGUGCUCUGUUUUUAUUGAUCAGUUUCUUAUGGUUUUUACUUCUUUAUUUCUUCUACAAUCUGGAAUAACAAGUCAAGUUUUCCAUUCACCUUAGUACUUAGACUUAAGACUGGAUUGAGUCUGUUCUUUCAACUUUCAAUGUAGAUUUCAAUUUUGGCAUUGCAUUUCUAGUUUUCUUAUAAUCUUUCCUUAUUGCAUUCAACUUCCUUAUUAUUUCUGCUUGCUUCUUAGCCAGAUCCUUUUAAAUCCAUGUCUUAUUUUCACAUACUUCAAAUUUCUUUGAAUUUUGAGAACACAAAGCAGAUGUUUUUUAAAAAUCUGGUGUUUUCUGAGGAAAAUAUUCUAGCCCAGCAGCAACUUCUUCCCUUACAUUUUGAAUGCUUGUUACUCCGCCUUACUGCAGAAUAAUUUCAUAGAUCCCAUGUUAUUUAACUUGUUUGUGACCUUAUUCUUGAACAAUGAGAUGGCUACACAAACUGUUCAGGAACAAAUCGGAUGGAUUCUCCUUGGUUGCAUUUACUCUCCACUUUGUUAUUAUUAGAAUUCUCCUCGAGGAUUUUAAACUGGCGUUAGUAGUUGAACUAAAUCUACAAUGCUAGCUCAAGAACUCAGCAGGGAAGGAGUUGGAACUGUGGGCAGUCACAGCAUGAGAACUUCAUCUCCACAUCAUUUCUUAUUUUGUUUGGAAAAGCCAUUGCAAUGGGGCCAGCUUUUGGCAUUGGUUUUUGUUUGAUCUCAUCUUCAAGCCAAGUAUAAGGAGGGACUGGUCUGGCCCCUUUCCCAGUGUUAUUCCCCGUCCAGCUUUCUGCUUGUUGUAGUCACUACUUGAAAACUAGACCUCCCCAUCCCACCUCCUCCCCAACAUGGCUGCUUUCAAUGGCUGCUGCUUGGCAGGGACAAAAUGGAGGUCAAGAGAUCUGUGCCUCACCAGCUCUAGGGCUCGCUCUUCUACUCCCUGCCUCUUCAAUUAAGGGAUGUCUAUUAUCCAGGACUCUAAGAUAUUCCAUAUAGAAUCCAGUCAAGAAGCAAAGGAAGAUCACUGGGGACAGCUUUCCUAAUUGAGAAGGAUGACCUGUGCUGCAACAGAGGCACAUGCUGAAGCAGACGUUAACAUGGAUGGCAACAUUUCCUGUUCCUCAAAUCUCAGCCCAGCCACUCGGAAUCAAAGCGUGGGCCUGAAGCUGUGCUUUGGAAAGUCAUCUCAAGUGAUGAUUUGCUAGUUCCUGGCCAGACUUUGUGCUCUUCACCAAGGAAACACCCAUGGUUACUGGGAUUGCACAGCAGUUCAAAACAGCUAUUUCCAGAAAAGAAGAGAAUAACAACUUCCCUGGAAUAAUUACUCUAUUUGAGGAUAUUUAGAAAGUUACUAACCCCAAUCCCU